rnacentral:rRNA from 1 species
UACGUAGGGCGCAAGCGUUGUCCGGAAUUAUUGGGCGUAAAGAGCUCGUAGGCGGCCAGUUGCGUCUGCUGUGAAAUCCCGGGGCUCAACCCCGGGCGUGCAGUGGAUACGGGCUGGCUAGAGGCAGGCAGGGGAGAACGGAAUUCCCGGUGUAGCGGUGAAAUGCGCAGAUAUCGGGAGGAACACCGGUGGCGAAGGCGGUUCUCUGGGCCUGUACUGACGCUGAGGAGCGAAAGCGUGGGGGGCGAACAGG